rnacentral:rRNA from 1 species
CGCACGGGUGAGUAACACGUAUCCAACCUGCCGUCUACUCUUGGCCAGCCUUCUGAAAGGAAGAUUAAUCCAGGAUGGCAUCAUGAGUUCACAUGUCCGCAUGAUUAAAGGUAUUUUCCGGUAGACGAUGGGGAUGCGUCCCAUUAGAUAGUAGGCGGGGUAACGGCCCACCUAGUCAACGAUGGAUAGGGGUUCUGAGAGGAAGGUCCCCCACAUUGGAACUGAGACACGGUCCAA